rnacentral:rRNA from 1 species
UACGGGGGGGGCAAGCGUUGUUCGGAAUUACUGGGCGUAAAGGGCUUGUAGGUGGCCAACUAAGUCAGACGUGAAAUCCCACGGCUUAACCGAGGAACUGCGUCUGAUACUGGAUGGCUUGAGUUCGGGAGAGGGAUGCGGAAUUCCAGGUGUAGCGGUGAAAUGCGUAGAUAUCUGGAGGAACACCGGUGGCGAAGGCGGCAUCCUGGACCGACACUGACGCUGAGGAGCGAAAGCCAGGGGAGCAAACGGG